UACGUAGGGGGCGAGCGUUGUCCGGAAUUACUGGGCGUAAAGCGCGCGUAGGCGGACCUGCAAGUCGGGGGUGAAAGCCCGAGGCUCAACCUCGGAACUGCCUUCGAUACUGCGGGUCUCGAGUCCGGGAGAGGUGAGUGGAAUUCCUAGUGUAGAGGUGAAAUUCGUAGAUAUUAGGAAGAACACCAGUGGCGAAGGCGGCUCACUGGCCCGGUACUGACGCUGA
rnacentral:rRNA from 1 species